GACAGAGGCCUCGAGCGUUAGGCGGAAUCACUGGGCUUAAAGCGCGUGUAGGCGGAUCGUUAAGUGCCUUGUGAAAUCCUGCGGCUCAACCGCAGAACCGCUGGGCAUACUGGCGGUCUUGGGCCACUCAGGGGUCACUGGAACAAGCGGUGGAGCGGUGAAAUGCGUAGAUAUCUGGAGGAACACCGGUGGCGAAGGCGGCAUCCUGGACCGGCAUUGACGCUGAGGAGCGAAAGCCAGGGGAGCAAACGGG
rnacentral:rRNA from 1 species